rnacentral:rRNA from 1 species
CUACGGGCCGCAGCAGUGGGGAAUCUUGGACAAUGGGGGCAACCCUGAUCCAGCGAUGCCGCGUGUGUGAAGAAGGCCUUCGGGUUGUAAAGCACUUUAGGCGGGGAGGAUUAUCAGUAAUUGAAUAGGCUACUGUGAAGACGUUACCCGCAGAAUAAGCACCGGCUAACUCUGUGCCAGCAGCCGCGGUAAUACAGAGGGUGCGAGCGUUAAUCGGAAUUACUGGGCGUAAAGCGCGCGUAGGCGGCUAGAUCAGUCGGGUGUGAAAGCCCCGGGCUUAACCUGGGAACUGCAUCCGAUACUGUCUAGCUUGAGUACAGGAGAGGAGAGUGGAAUUCCACAUGUAGCGGUGAAAUGCGUAGAUAUGUGGAGGAACACCAAUGGCGAAGGCAGCUCUCUGGCCUGAUACUGACGCUGAGGUGCGAAAGCGUGGGGAGCAAACAGGAUUAGAUACCCCUGUAGUC